CUUUGUUGGCAUACUUCCUCUUCAACAUCUCCGUAACUGAUUAUAUCUACUCCCAGAUAUCUGAACCUUGUUUCCUGCUUUAUUAUUUUCCCAUCAAUUUCGAUUUUACAUCGUAGUGGGUAUUUAGAUGUUGUCAUACAUUUGGUUUUUUCUGCUGAUAUUAUCAUAUUGUAUUUCUUGGCUGUUGUA
rnacentral:lncRNA from 1 species